rnacentral:rRNA from 1 species
AUGAACGCUGGCGGCGUGCCUAAUCCAUGCAAGUCGAGCGAACAGAUGAGGAGCUUGCUCCUCUGACGUUAGCGGCGGACGGGUGAGUAACACGUGGAUAACCUACCUAUAAGACUGGGAUAACUUCGGGAAACCGGAGCUAAUACCGGAUAAUAUAUUGAACCGCAUGGUUCAAUAGUGAAAGACGGUUUUGCUGUCACUUAUAGAUGGAUCCGCGCCGCAUUAGCUAGUUGGUAAGGUAACGGCUUACCAAGGCAACGAUGCGUAGCCGACCUGAGAGGGUGAUCGGCCACACUGGAACGGAGACACGGUCCAGACUCCUACGGGAGGCAGCAGUAGGGAAUCUUCCGCAAUGGGCGAAAGCCUGACGGAGCAACGCCGCGUGAGUGAUGAAGGUCUUCGGAUCGUAAAACUCUGUUAUUAGGGAAGAACAAAUGUGUAAGUAACUAUGCACGUCUUGACGGUACCUAAUCAGAAAGCCACGGCUAACUACGUG